GCAAGGUUGUGAUAAUUGGUAGUCGAGCGGUCUUGAAAACCGUUGUCCGGUAACGGAUUCAGGGUUCGAGUCCCUGACCUUGUG
rfam:Ruminococcus callidus ATCC 27760 genomic scaffold Scaffold21, whole genome shotgun sequence.